GACGAACGCUGGCGGCGUGCUUAACACAUGCAAGUCGAACGAUGAAGCCUCUUCGGGGGUGGAUUAGUGGCGAACGGGUGAGUAACACGUGGGCAAUNUGCCCUGCACUUCGGGACAAGCCCAGGAAACGGGGUCUAAUACCGGAUGGGACUGCCGGCCGCAUGGUCUGGUGGUGGAAAGCUUCGGCGGUGCAGGAUGAGCCCGCGGCCUAUCAGCUUGUUGGUGGGGUGAUGGCCUACCAAGGCUGCGACGGGUAGCCGGCCUGAGAGGGCGACCGGCCACACUGGGACUGAGACACGGCCCAGACUCCUACGGGAGGCAGCAGUGGGGAAUAUUGCACAAUGGGCGGAAGCCUGAUGCAGCGACGCCGCGUGAGGGAUGACGGCCUUCGGGUUGUAAACCUCUUUCAGCAGGGAAGAAGCCUUAAACAGUGACGGUACCUGCAGAAGAAGCACCGGCUAACUACGUGC
rnacentral:rRNA from 1 species